UACAGAGGGUGCGAACGUUGCUCGGAAUUACUGGGCGUAAAGCGCAUGUAGGCGGAUCCAUAAGUCGGGCGUGAAAUCCCCGAGCUCAACUCGGGAACUGCGUCCGAUACUGGCAGGCUUGAAUCCGGGAGAGGGAUGCGGAAUUCCAGGUGUAGCGGUGAAAUGCGUAGAUAUCUGGAGGAACACCGGUGGCGAAGGCGGCAUCCUGGACCGGCAUUGACGCUGAGGCGCGAAAGCCAGGGGAGCAAACGGGG
rnacentral:rRNA from 1 species